rnacentral:lncRNA from 1 species
GCACAAGAGGGAAGUUGAUUAGAAAUAAUGCAGUGAGUGGUCCGAACAGUAGGCCCGGCCAGUCAGAAUCACUGCUGUGGAGGGAAUCAGCACACGCAGGCUGUGUCCGCAGAGAGACAUUCGCCCUUUGGAGACAUUUUCACGUUCCCGGAGGCGACAGUGAUGUGUGGGUCGGAACGCUUUUUAAAAGCCAUGAAGUCUGCAUGACCUUAGUCGGGAAGUAACCCAGCCUCUACUUUUGUUCUAUGCAAGAAGACAGGGAGUUCUUGUUUCCUGCAGAAGGCAGUGAUCUUGCAGAGAAAUCUCGUGAUCUAAGCUCCUGCACAGAACUUAAUCCAGGAGACCUGCAGGCUUGUCCAGGGGUGCACAGAACAC